rnacentral:rRNA from 1 species
GACGAACGCUGGCGGCGUGCUUAACACAUGCAAGUCGAACGGGCCUGUCUUCUUUUUUGGGGGUGGGUUGAGUGGCGAACGGGUGAGUAUCACGUGAGUAACCUGCCCUUCGGUCCUGGAUAACCGCUUGAAAGGGCGGCUAAUACGGGGUGGUCCGGUUGGUCCGCAUGGGCUGGUCGGGAUAGAUUCACUGUUUUUGGUGUUUCGGCGGGGGAUGGGCUCGCGGCCUAUCAGCUUGUUGGUGGGGUGAUGGCCUACCAAGGCGGUGACGGGUAGCCGGCCUGAGAGGGUGGGCGGCCACACUGGGACUGAGAUACGGCCCAGACUCCUGGGGGAGGCAGCAGUGGGGGGUAUUGCACAAUGGGCGGAAGCCUGAUGCAGCGACGUCGCGUGAGGGAUGGAGGCCUUCGGGUUGUGAACCUCUGUUUCCGGUGGUGAAGGCCCUGUCCGUGUGGUGGGGUUGACGGUAGCCGGGGAUGAAGCGCCGGCUAACUACGUG